rnacentral:rRNA from 1 species
ACUCCUACGGGAGGCAGCAGUGGGGAAUAUUGCACAAUGGGCGCAAGCCUGAUGCAGCAACGCCGUGUGAGUGAAGAAGGUUUCGGAUCGUAAAACUCUGUCCUAAGGGAAGAAACAAAUGACGGUACCUUAGGAGGAAGCCCCGGCUAACUACGUGCCAGCAGCCGCGGUAAUACGUAGGGGCAAGCGUUAUCCGGAAUCACUGGGCGUAAAGGGUGCGUAGGCGGCUUAGCAAGCCAGGGGUGAAAGGCAUUGGCUCAACCAAUGUAAGCCUUUGGAACUGUUAAGCUUGAGUGCAGGAGAGGUAAGUGGAAUUCCUAGUGUAGAGGUGAAAUUCGUAGAUAUUAGGAGGAAACCCACG